rnacentral:tRNA from 1 species
UGGUUUAUAGCUCAGUUGCUUAGAGUGUGGUGCUGAUAAUGCCAAGGUUGCAGGUUUGAUCCCCAUAUAGGACAG